GAAGUCAAACGGAAUCUGUUCUGGAAGUUCGUUUGACUUGCAAAACAUUUGGAAACCAAGGCACAGCUUCCGAUUGGCUGCAGGAAGCUCCUGCAGCCAAUCAGAAGCAGUGGAAGCAGCGAUGGACGUUUGGGUUCCAAAAAACAUUCGCAAACCAGAACAUUCACUUCCAGGUUUGUGGCGUUUGGGAGCCAAAACAUUCGACUCGCAAGAUGUUUGUCAACCAAGGUAUGACUGUAUAAAGUCAAGAAGUCUCUUGAUACAAACAUUGGAGAAAAUCCUUUCCUACAGCCACUCUAGUUAUCACUUCAAAUUUUACAUUUAUGACAUGGGUAAUAAUAGUUGGGUUGGACAGAGGGGAAAGUAUAGUGUGCUAAUGGCUUCACGUGUGUCUCUAUCACUUCCUACACAUGCAUCAAAACUCAGGGCUACUCUCAAGUAGAGACUUGUAUCCUGUCAGGAGCCUGACCUCUAGUGGAUAUGGUGGAUCUGCUUCAUAGACUCCACAAUAUUUUUGGGUCGGACUGUUUUAACCCGCAGGUACAGAAGUGUAAGCUUGAAACAAAAUGCCAUAAUUCGUUGCUAUAAUUCUUAUUACAUUUUUAUCGCACCUGCCCUCUUAAGUUGCUCCAGGGCGGCAGGCGUGGUUCUCCUCCUCUUUUCUUCAUCCCUGUGAGAGGUGAGAGAGAGUGACUUUGCACAUUUUCAUUUUUCAUUGCUUAUUCGCUUGUGACUCUUCCAGAUUGGCAAACAUACUGAAAAGUGUGAAAAAAAUACAGUUCCAUAAACUGGCCUCUUCUGGCAUUUGAAAAGAAAUAAGAGGUUCUCCCUCCUCCAGUAGUCUGGAGGUCUGUUUAUGCAAUCCUAUCCAAACUGCUGGUUAAUUUUGAGAUGUGUGCAAAUGUGCGGCAGAUUGAGGGAGACCAUCAAAGUGACGGGCCCCAGCUCGCUGAGUUGUCCAACUCCUCAAGUUAUUUUCCCCACAUCUGGAUGGGUUGUCUGCAGAGCAAUUGCAUCAUUGCCAUUAACAACACGGAAUUAAUUCACUGCGGUUUGUUCAGGCACCGAGAGCAAGUAUGUUUCCUUUGGUAUUUGAGGUCACUUUGAGGGGAAAGCAGACUUGUUGAUAUUUCAACCUUUUAAAAAUUAUUAUGACUUCCUAAAGAAAACAAAAUGUCAAGCACCUUUUCCUUCCUUCAGCAUGGUUUUUUAUUGGGGGGGGGGGGCUUCUUUAAAAUAAAAAUGGAGAAGUGGCUAGAAAGAUCCUGAAGCCAUGCCUAAGUAACAUUCAGGGCAGGAGGACUUCGUGUGUGUAUCCUGUAUGUAUCAAGAUGUACGUUCUACAUCUGGGAUAGCUAAACUAUUUUGCCUGGUGAUCCAGCAGAGAGUAUCAACAUCUCUUCACCAAUAUAAUAAUCGAUCUGAUGAUUGGGGAGGAGGUGGUUUCCACCAACUUCAAUGUGUGACUACUUUUAUUUUUUAUAUUUUUUGCCACCACCAAAAUAAGUGGGGGGCUUGGAAGGGGGCAUAAAAAUUUUCUGUGGAGACUGAACAAGGACUUCCAGCUAGGAAGCAGCCACUCUAGAUUUUCAUAGAUGUUUAAAUAAAGUCUAUUGGAAGGCCCCUGCCUUUGUUUCCCUUGAUUUCAUCUCUUGCAUUGACUUAUUUUUGUAAGAAAUAAAAGAAAAACAGGAGGAAGGGAAAGAGCAGUCUGUGGGGGCUACAAUUACAAGCCUUUUAGGAAACUGUGCAUGGCUGUGUAAGCUGCUGAUUCCUCUUGUUUGGAUGGCUGAAGUAUAUUAUCUAGGUCAUGUUCUCCAAGACCGCUGCCUCUGUUACAGCCAGACUUUCUGUUGACUUGGGCUGUCUUAAUGCAUCAGAGAACCUCUGCUAUGCUUCAGUUCCUGUUAUGAAUCCAAGUUGCACCUCUCAGCUUUUGCUUAGACAACAUUUUUUUUUGCAUGUGCUUAUCAUUUACAAAAGAGAAUUCAGAUUCUCAUUGCGCUUUUCUUACUAUAGUACCUAUUUCUCUGUUUCUCUGUUUAUUUAAUAAUCAUGUCUGAUUUGCUGCCUUCGCCCCUCGACACUGUUUCUGCAUGUCAUAAUCCAGUUACUUGACAGCAGAGGUGAGAGAUGAAUCAUAAAGAUCAGUUACAUUGCUUUUGGGUGUGUGUGAAACACUAUCUUGAAAUAAAGGAAAUGAGAUGGAAGAAAAUUUAGGUCAGGGGUGAGAAAUCUUGACCCCAGGGCUGCAUUCAUUCCCUUAGGGGCGAUUGGUUUGAAGCCUGGCUCCAUGCCACUGUUGGGCGGGGCCCAAACCCAAAGUGGGAGGAGCCAGUACUUUCCCCAUUUUCUCUCUGUCUUUCAAACCACAUUUUCCCAAUGUUUCCUUUCAUAAUAACUACAGUGGUACCUCGGGUUAAGUACUUAAUUUGUUCUGGAGGUCCGUUUUUAACCUGAAACUGUUCUUAACCUGAAGCACCACUUUAGCUAAUGGGGCCUCCUGCUGCUGCCGCGCCAGCGGAGCACGAUUUCUGUUCUCAUCCUGAAGCAAAGUUCUUAACCUGAAGCACUAUUUCUGGGUUAGCGGAGUCUGUAACCUGAAGCGUAUGUAACCUGAAGCAUAUGUAACCUGAGGUACCACUGUAUUGAGUUUUAAGCAAUAUUUUGCAUGACAUAAAAUAUACUUCCAGAAAAAAGGAGAAACUUAGCACUGAUGUGCAUGUUAAUUGCUUCCAGAAAAAAAAUAUAUGUUUGCAUAUUUUAACCCACCCACAACAUUACAGAAGUUUUGCGUUGUAAUUGCCCCACAGUUUUCGUGGAACAUGCCACUGCUGCUCAUGUGAUGAACUUUGGGGUAGAAUUUCAGCAUACUGUUCUUUCCCGCCAUUUUCAUGGGUGAAUCAUUGGGGUCAGAAGCACUUGUGCACAUGAAGGGUGUGAUUUUAUUCUCUGCUGUUUCAAAUUGUUCAAUAUAUGCUAUUUUAUUCCCCCCCCUUUUUUAUUUGCUUUCACUAAUGGCAGAAAUCUAUUAUGGAAAGGUGGGGCAUAAAUCUUUUUAAACAAAUAGUGACAGAAGCUUCUGAAUUUUUCUUUUAGUCUCCUUCUCUCAGGUAAAUUAUCUUUUCUUGUACUUCUUGGGAACCUGGUUAAUUCUUUCCAGGCCUGUCAUUUAAGCAACAUCUUUAAAAACACACAGACAUAGAGAGAGAGAGAUUCCAGAGAUUCUUUCAGGCCACAAAAGAGUUAAAUCUCCCCUCCCCCUUCCACCUCCAUGCGACAGAGAGUGAGAGCAGUAGGAUUACUGUUCACUCUUCUGAUUUACCAUUUAUGCUGGACGGUGAAGAGAUUAGAAAGACCCAGUACUUGGGCUGAACCAUGUGCUUGUCUAGAAGGGGAAGCUGGAGGGCGUGCAGAUGUUCAUAAAAAAUCUGUGCCAUGCGUGUUUCCUGGAGGGAUUUUCCCUCGACCCUCUGGUCUCCCCCUCACUUCUGCAGGUCAGUUUGCACAUAUCACUGGGACUCUGAGAUCCAGAGAACAGUAUGCAGGAGAGGCAAAGCCUGUUGGGCAUUGGGAGAUUUUCUUAAGAAGCACAACAAAGUGAUCAAAAAUGGCCCUGGGCUGCUGUCUGCUGAAGAAUCCAGGUAUUUAUAUAUUUAUAUAUAUAAAUAUACUCUUUUUCCUUGUAGACAGGGUUUCUGUGUAACCGGGAGAUAAUAAAGCACGCUCUCUCUCUCUCCCUCCCCCCCCCCAACUCCUCCAUGCAAAACUCAUUUGCUAAGUAAAGAUGUGGGAAUGUGUGUUGUAUUCUAGCAGUUUGUUUGUUUACACAAUGUAUUUGCUGCUUGAGAGCAGACGUUAGCAAUAAAUAAAUAAAAAACCAUAAAGAUUAAAGCAGAAUAAAAUUAACCUCAAUAUAAAACAAACAAACAAAAAUCACCAGCAGCAAAACAUUUAUACAGCAGGACCAAAAGCAUGAGGAUGUUGUAACAUUAUAAUACCUGGAAGAAUAAAAAGGUGGUCACCCAAUGCCAAAAAGGUGAGUACCAGGUGAACCUCCUUGGGUUACACAAAGAAAGUGUAACUUAUAUAUCAGCAACAGGCAUAAACGUGGUUAAAAAGUUUAACACAUUUUUCGGCUUUUUCUUUUUGCAAGUUGGUGUAUAUUCAGCCAGCAAUAAAUAUAAUUUUCUGUUGUGACUUUCACUUAAUAGAUGCUCCAAUUUUAUAGAUAGAUAGAUAGAUAGAUAGAUAGAUAGAUAGAUAGAUAGAUAUAGAUGAUAUAGACAUUCUGAGGACCUCUGUUGCUUCUUUGUAGCUGACUUGUACAUUCAAGGCAAGCUUGGUUUUAACUGAAAGUCAUUACUGAUUGAUUGAUUGAUUGAUUGAUUGACUAAUGCAGCAAUCUAUUCAAAACUCUUGAACAAAAAUGAUAAUUAUGCAUUUAUCUAUUGAGCGUUGGUCACUUUUAAUUUAAAGAAUCAGAGCAUUUCAAAAGGCACUAUGAGAAAGUU